rnacentral:misc_RNA from 1 species
GAUGAAGAACGCAGCGAAAUGCGAUACGUAAUGUGAAUUGCAGAAUUCAGUGAAUCAUCGAAUCUUUGAACGCACCUUGCACUCUUUGGUAUUCCGAAGAGUAUGUCUGUUUGAGUGUCAUGAAACUCUCAACCCCCUUGUUUUGUAAUGGAACAGGCGUGGGCUUGGAUUAUGGCUGUCUGCUGGACUCUUUAAGUAGAGAUCGGCUCGGCUGAAAUACACGAGUAACCCAGGUUGAACAUUAACGGCUUGACUCGGCGUAAUAGCUUUAUUUCGCUGAGGACGUUUCAGAUCAAGAUAGUGGUGCUUCUAAUGCGUCGUAGCGUCAGCUGCACAACCUUUAAGCUUUAGACCUCAAAUCAGUCAGGACUACCCGCUGAACUUAAGCAUAUCAAUAAGCGGAGGA